rnacentral:lncRNA from 1 species
AUGGGGGCUUUGAGGAGAGGAAGAAGAAGAAGGAAAAAACAAAAAGAUUGGCAACAGAUGUUAGCUCAGGUGCCAAUCUUUAAAAAAAAAGUAAAAGUGACUUGGCAAAGACGUCCUUUCCAAAACAGUCUGAUUCCACUUUAUGUUAUCAGACAAAUGGGUCUUGAGCUCAAGUUUACAUUUAGAUGUCUCUGGCAACAAUUUCUUCAAGGCAGGAAGAUGCGGAGGAAGAGAUGUACUCACCCCUCACCUCUCCAGCUGCUGUCAUUUUCAGGAAAACUUGUGGACUGUCACCAAGUAUUUCCCCAAAAAACCAAUGUUCAGCGACUUUUUUCAUGUCAGCCCAAACCACUAGGUCGGGGAUACCAGGAGGAGUGAAGCCAUGUCCUUGAACCCCUGGAGCUCGCAACUUAGCGAGGAUCACUAUCUGAACACAACAGACUACGGUGCUGUGACUGGAGCUGUGUGUGCGUGUGACGUCCCUUAACAUCAGUGCUAACCUCAGACUACAAACCAUGGUGUCCAAAGUGGGCAGGACCCUCUCUAGUCAGUGGGAUUGCCUAUCGAAUACUAAAGCCAGCAUCACACUAGGCACUGGGACAAGAUGAACAAGAUGCAUAUGGGUUUUGUUGAGGCGGGGCACGGUGACGGAUAAAGGAAGUAACCUAGUAAUGACAGCACAGUGUGGAACAAACAGGAGGGAAACGCACGGGCUCACAAAGUCAGAGCUGGGUCCUGCUUGCUGAGUGGGGACAGGUGUCCCUGGAGAGCUGACACUUAGCUAUAAUCCUAGGAAUCAGCAGGAUUUGGCAGGCACAUGGAGGAGAAAGUGUGUUCUACGCAGAGACAGCAGCAGGUCCAGGGAGCAAUGCCCUGUGUGGUUGAGGUUCAGUGCCUGCGGGAGGGGGAAAGGCAGAGAGAGCAGCCAGGCCUGCACCACCUUGCCCUUGACAUUGUGGGAAGAGAGUCGGGAAGGGAGAGAGAGGAGGCACGGAGCAGCCAAGCGUUGGGCCUGAAGGGGGUUGGGAGAAGGGGGUAGAUGAGACAGAGGUUUAGGAGGAAAAAAAAUGUGACGGCUGAUUAGAUAUGGAGCCAGCGGUUAAAUGAGGAAUUUAAGAAGAGUAUAGCAAUGAGAAUUAUCCCGUAAGAAUCUAACAGAAAACAAACUAGAAACUAAUCCCAAAUGCUCAGCGGCCUGGGGACAUUUCAUAUGGCAGCAAAUAUCCAGGGGCAACUCUGUCGGGCUAUCAGCAUCUUAGAGCAUGAUACAGUAAUUUUUGUACGCAAAAUAACCAGAAAUCAUUAAAACAGCUUCAAGUACAUUAAAAGCACUCUUUCAGAAAGCAAGAAAAAAUAUGAGAUUUUUGGAAACAGUUUCAUCUAAAUUGGUUAAAAGAGGAAUAAAGAUUGAAAGUAGGGGUAGGUAAUUUUUAAU